UACCAGGUGAAAUUCUCUCACGUAUAUCUCAUCAUUUAUUCACUUAACUCAUCACAGGGACCAUCCCAGGCAGAGGCCCCGUGGAGAGGGCUCCUGAGCCACAGACAUAGCUUAGGGCCACUCUGGGGUGAGGACUGCCUUCCUGUCAUAGGCAUGAGAAGGAUGUCAACAAGUUGGUUGAAUAAUUAGGAAAAAAGAUUCUGAGAACUGAGAAAAGAGAAAGAAAACAAAGCGGAUGGCAGAACGGAAUGACACAUUUGUGAGUGAGUCUCAGCAGACCGAAAGCUGAGUCAAAGCACCACAAAACUCUGGGACCUUAUUUCCCAUCUCCUAGAAAGACGGGAGACGGAGCCACGCCAGGCCAGGCGUGAUGUUAAUCGUUCCAUCAAAAGCACCUAAGUCACUCUACCCCUCCAGGACAGGGAGCACAGAGAUGGAGUCUCACUCUCGCGCCCAGGCUGGAGCGCAGUGGCGCGAUCUUGGCUCAGUGCAACCUCCGCCUCCCGGGUUCAAGCGAUUCUCCUGCCUCAGCCUCCCAAGUAGCUGGGAUUACCAGGCACCCACCUUCAGGAUCAUGUCCUCCACCACGGACGCAUACACGUUCCUGUGGAGUGCCACGGGCUGCAGGGUGAUCCCAAUCUGGAAAAGCAGAAGAAAGCCGUUUGUUCGUAUCGCUGCUUUAGAAACAGCCUCUCUCCAAACAAGCAUACCUCCCUGACAUGCAAAGCGAUGCCUGGUUGGAAGGAGGACUCUGCAAACAUAUUGGGCAAAAUUCACGGGAAAGGAACACGGAAUAUAACAUCUAGAAGAAUGUUAUCUUGUUUUUCCACAUUUCUGGCUGAUAUUUAAAAUAUGACUAUAAUCCUAUUAAAAUCUCUCAAAUCUCCUUCGUGGGAGAACAUGGUUGGGAUCUGCCUGGGUUCUGAUACGCAAUCAACACUUUGAAAGGUCUGGAAUCAGACUCCAACGUCCUGUUUGCACUUGGAAACUGCAUCUUGCCCAUUCUUCAUGGCAUCCAAUGAAAGCACACUGUCUUUCACCUUGGGCCCUGAGCAACUGGCAGAUGCUGAAGAGCUGUUAGGCUCCAGCAGGGUGGAUAAAUACCUCUCUCCUGUAUAGUAAGGCAGGUGCACGCCAUCUGCACCACAGGCGGGGCACUCAGGAGCUAUCAACACAUCAGGGGAGGAUUACGCGCUGACGUGCAACUCAGAAAGAGUACGACGUGCCUCAUGAGGGAAAGGUGCUUCUACUGAGGCAGAUGAGAAAAACAAGAUGAAGAGUAAUCAACCAUUUCUAUCUAGCCAGCUUUGCUUCACGUCUGCGUUCAACAAGCAAUGUUUUCACAUGUAAUUAGCAUUUCUGCCCAAGGGCUCUGAUGUGGGACGGUGGGAGCCCUGAGAGCACACCUGGGUCAACCAGGCAGAAGGAAGUCAAGCAUCUACGGCACCAGAAGAGUCUGGGUCUGAGUCUGUGUCUGUGAGGCUGAACACCUGGGUCUGGGUCUGUGAAGCUGAACGUCUGAACAUCUAGCUCUGAGCUGGUCUGCUGCAUGAACUAUUAACACCACAACCCCUACCUUCUGUGUGACAUCCCCAAUAAAUUCAG